rfam:Perkinsus marinus ATCC 50983 gcontig_1104296660844, whole genome shotgun sequence.
GCCCGAUUAGUUCAGCUGGAUAGAAUGUCUGCCUACGGAGUAGAUGGUCGUAGUUUCGAAUCCUGCAUCGGGUA